GUUUUAAUAGUUUAUUAAAAAUAUUGGUCUUGUAAACCAAAGAUAAAAAUCAUCUUUUAAAACU
rnacentral:tRNA from 2 species